rnacentral:lncRNA from 1 species
UCACAGGUAACAAUAGUUGCUUUUAUUGUUUUUCUAUCAAAUGUUCAAAUAAACUCUAGAGAAUUUCAUAUGGUGUGACGUGAGAGGAUGAUUGAUAGGAGCCCUUUUGGCUGUGUUAUAUCAGGUUAAAUCUGGCAGCAUGUGAAAACUGUUAUUCUGCACUGGUUAUUUUCUUUCAGAGUAUGUGGGAACUUGUGCGCUAAGAAAUCAAGGUAGAGGAAUCUAUGGAGUUCAUGUCUCUUUAACUGGAUUACAUGUUUAUAUAUUACCUUUUUGAAAGAUGUGAUAAUAGUAUCCAGGUGAAGUGUAUAAAUGUACUGCCUAACGAAUACCUGAGUUUAAUCCCUGUAAAUAAAAGGAAAGUGGAGUAGGAGAACUCACUUUGAAAAUGUGUCUUCUGGACACAUGCACAUUGACUUGUGCACACCCAACCUAAGAGCAAUAUUAAUAAAUAACUAUUUGGAAAAGAACUCUGUAAUUGAAGGAUGUCUUUUGUCAAGAAAUAAGACAAAUAGUGAAUCACUUCAGUAAACUUCAUAAAUU